rnacentral:rRNA from 1 species
AGCGAACGCUGGCGGCAGGCCUAACACAUGCAAGUCGAACGAACUCUUCGGAGUUAGUGGCGGACGGGUGAGUAACACGUGGGAACGUGCCUUUUGGUUCGGAAUAACUCAGGGAAACUUGUGCUAAUACCGAAUGCCCUUCGGGGGAAAGAUUUAUCGCCAUUAGAGCGGCCCGCGUCUGAUUAGCUAGUUGGUGAGGUAACGGCUCACCAAGGCGACGAUCAGUAGCUGGUCUGAGAGGAUGACCAGCCACACUGGGACUGAGACACGGCCCAGACUCCUACGGGAGGCAGCAGUGGGGAAUCUUGCGCAAUGGGCGAAAGCCUGACGCAGCCAUGCCGCGUGAAUGAUGAAGGUCUUAGGAUUGUAAAAUUCUUUCACCGGGGACGAUAAUGACGGUACCCGGAGAAGAAGCCCCGGCUAACUUCGUG